UACGGAGGAUCCGAGCGUUAUCCGGAUUUAUUGGGUUUAAAGGGUGCGUAGGCGGGAUAAUAAGUCAGCGGUGAAAGUUUUCGGCUCGACCGGAAAAUUGCCGUUGAAACUGUUGUUCUUGAGUGCAGAAGAGGUAGGCGGAAUUCGUUAUGUAGCGGUGAAAUGCGUAGAUAUAACGAGGAACUCCGAUUGCGCAGGCAGCUUACUAAACUACUACUGACGCUCAGGCACGAAGGCGUGGGGAUCAAACAGGAUUAGAUACCCGGGUAGUCCCUGAGCGGG
rnacentral:rRNA from 1 species